rnacentral:rRNA from 1 species
UUGACCUCAAAUCAGGUAGGACUACCCGCUGAACUUAAGCAUAUCAAUAAGCGGAGGAAAAGAAACUAACAAGGAUUCCCCUAGUAACUGCGAGUGAAGCGGGAAAAGCUCAAAUUUAAAAUCUGGUAGUCUUUGGCUGCCCGAGUUGUAAUCUAGAGAAGCAUUAUCUGCGUUGGACUGUGUAUAAGUGUCCUGGAAUGGACCAUCAUAGAGGGUGAGAAUCCCGUCUUUGACACAGACUCCCAGUGCUUUGUGAUGUGCUCUCAAAGAGUCGAGUUGUUUGGGAAUGCAGCUCUAAAUGGGUGGUAAAUUCCAUCUAAAGCUAAAUAUUGGCGAGAGACCGAUAGCGAACAAGUACCGUGAGGGAAAGAUGAAAAGAACUUUGGAAAGAGAGUUAAACAGUACGUGAAAUUGCUGAAAGGGAAACGCUUGAAGUCAGUCGCGUUGGCUGGGGAUCAACCUUGCUUUUGCUUGGCUUACUUCCCAGUUGACGGGUCAGCAUCAGUUUUGACCAGUGGAUAAAGGCUAGGGGAAUGUGGCACCUCCUGGUGUGUUAUAGCCCUUGGUCAUAUACAUUGGUUGGGACUGAGGAACUCAGCACUUGU